rnacentral:rRNA from 1 species
AGUGAACGCUGGCGGUAGGCCUAACACAUGCAAGUCGAACGGCAGCACAGAGGAGCUUGCUCCUUGGGUGGCGAGUGGCGGACGGGUGAGGAAUACAUCGGAAUCUACUCUGUCGUGGGGGAUAACGUAGGGAAACUUACGCUAAUACCGCAUACGACCUACGGGUGAAAGCAGGGGAUCUUCGGACCUUGCGCGAUUGAAUGAGCCGAUGUCGGAGUAGCUAGUUGGCGGGGUAAAGGCCCACCAAGGCGACGAUCCGUAGAUGGUAUGAGAGGAUGAUCAGCCACACUGGAACUGAGACACGGUCCAGACUCCUACGGGAGGCAGCAGUGGGGAAUAUUGGACAAUGGGCGCAAGCCUGAUCCAGCCAUACCGCGUGGGUGAAGAAGGCCUUCGGGUUGUAAAGCCCUUUUGUUGGGAAAGAAAUCCAGCUGGUUAAUACCCGGUUGGGAUGACGGUACCCAAAGAAUAAGCACCGGCUAACUUCGUGCCAGCCGCCGCCGUAA